GAAAACUGUACUAAAAGAUAACUCCUCCCGAUUUAGAAGUUAAGCAUCGUCGAGCCACAUCAGUACUGAGGUUGGAGACAACUUGGGAACCUGUGGUGCUGUAGUCU
rnacentral:rRNA from 1 species